GACAGAUUUUGCAAACGUUGUUCGGAAUUACUGGGCGUAAAGCGAGUGUAGGCGGCUUGGCAAGUCGGAUGUGAAAGCCCCGGGCUCAACCCGGGAAGUGCACUCGAUACUGCUGAGCUUGAGUGUCGGAGAGGUUGGUGGAAUUCUCGGUGUAGAGGUGAAAUUCGUAGAUAUCGAGAGGAACACCGGUGGCGAAGGCGGCCAACUGGACGAACACUGACGC
rnacentral:rRNA from 1 species